rnacentral:rRNA from 1 species
GCCUACGGGGGGCAGCAGUAGGGAAUCUUCCACAACGGGCGAAAGCUUGAUGGAGCAACGCCGCGUGGGUGAAGAAGGUCUUCGGAUCGUAAAACCCUGUUGUUAGAGAAGAAAGUGCGUGAGAGUAACUGUUCACGUUUCGACGGUAUCUAACCAGAAAGCCACGGCUAACUACGCGCCAGCAGCCGCGGUAAUACGUAGGUGGCAAGCGUUAUCCGGAUUUAUUGGGCGUAAAGGGAACGCAGGCGGUCUUUUAAGUCUGAUGUGAAAGCCUUCGGCUUAACCGGAGUAGGGCAUUGGAAACU